rnacentral:lncRNA from 1 species
UUUUUAGUUCAAUCCCUUUCCCAGCCUAGAGAAGCCCACUAGCCCAAUCAACAUCUCAUGACCCAUUUACUGAUUCAUAACCCAUUCCCCUCAAUUGAAUCAAUUGCUUCGAUUCAUAUUUCAUUCAGCCGUUGUCUGUUCGCACUUUGCUGCCUCUCCUCUCAGCCCAUCAGCCGCGGUGCCCAUCUCCGACUGGCCACUCAACCUCCUCCUCAAUCUUUCCGUAACCUCCGUCGUCCGACCUCCGUUGCAGGCAAGUGGCAACACGUUGCUCCGGACCGUCCAUAGACCGUAACCUCCGCAUCGCAGGGCCGCAGCUCCGUCUUAGCCGCUCCUUAACCUUCGAGGCAGGCAACUGUCAAUUGGCGAUUCUUUCGGGCUCCAGCAAUCGGCGGCAGCCAGCAAAAGAAGAAGGUGAAGCCUCUAUUUCCAAAUUCCGUCGACCCUGAUUUUGAAGCUUUUUCCAUUAUUUUUUAUUAUUUUAAUUUGUGUAAAUUGUAAUAAUAUUUGAUUUUUUUUUUUAACAUAUGAAAUUAGCACUUUAUUCUUCAAUUGCUCGAAGUGGUACUUCCUGCAUGUUGCUCUUCAAUUGAUUUUGGUAUUUUGUUAAUAGACAGUGAGAGUGAGACAAACUUCCAGAUCAUUGUUGCCUCUAGCCCUCUGCGAUUGUAAGUUGCUAACUCUAUCACUGGAAUGAAAAUAGAAUAUAUUGUUGUCCUGUAAAAUUGUGAAUUGCAGUUGAAUUGAUUUUAGGAAAUUGUGAAUUGGACUGUGAAUUGAUUACUUGAAAUUGUGAAUUACACUAGAUUUUGAUAGUUGCUUCCAAUAUUUGUGAUUCUUUAGUCGUAAUAUUGUUUUUUUUUUUUUUUUUAUCAUCAUUAACUCCA